AUUGAACGCUGGCGGCAGGCUUAACACAUGCAAGUCGAGCGGAGAUGAGGUGCUUGCACCUUAUCUUAGCGGCGGACGGGUGAGUAAUGCUUAGGAAUCUGCCUAUUAGUGGGGGACAACAUUCCGAAAGGAAUGCUAAUACCGCAUACGCCCUACGGGGGAAAGCAGGGGAUCUUCGGACCUUGCGCUAAUAGAUGAGCCUAAGUCGGAUUAGCUAGUUGGUGGGGUAAAGGCCUACCAAGGCGACGAUCUGGAGCGGGUCUGAGAGGAUGAUCCGCCACACUGGGACUGAGACACGGCCCAGACUCCUACGGGAGGCAGCAGUGGGGAAUAUUGGACAAUGGGCGGAAGCCUGAUCCAGCCAUGCCGCGUGUGUGAAGAAGGCCUUUUGGUUGUAAAGCACUUUAAGCGAGGAGGAGGCUACUUGGAUUAAUACUCUAGGAUAGUGGACGUUACUCGCAGAAUAAGCACCGGCUAACUCUGUGCCAGCAGCCGCAGUAACAC
rnacentral:rRNA from 1 species